rnacentral:lncRNA from 1 species
UUCAUAGCAGGGGGGGGAUAAAAGGGAGAGUUCCUGGGAUACCAGGUGUGUUCCUGGCAACCCCCAGGGCACCCGGCCGUUUUAACCCUUUGCUUUAUUUCUUUUGUCUCCUAAUUGUCUUUUUAUUUAUAUUAAAUUCUUUUUAUAAUUUAUUAAGUGAAUCUCGUUUUUAAGACAAGCUUGGCCGCAGCUGGAGCAGGGCAGUUUAUGGCACGCAGCUGCAGGAGAGCAUUCCCUAAUCCCGGCCUGCCGCCGUGAUCCCAGCUAAGCCACGCUUUGGAGAGCAGGGAUUUUCUGGCAGGGAUCACUCUGCCAUGCCGUGCUUAAGGCACGGCUCCAGGUGCAGUUCUGCCAGGAGGCCUGAGACACUGAAUUUGCUGCUUGGCACGGGCGGGUGGGUGCAGCCCUGCUCUGCUCUGCCCACCAGGCACCUCUCCAGACCCGGAUCCUCCUCACUGCAGCCUCGUGGCACCUUCCCUCUGUCCUGUGCCUGAGCCCGACCCCUCCUGCCUGCACCCCCUGCCAGGGGGCUGUGGAGAGCCACAAGGUCCCCCCUGGGCAUGUACAUUUUUGGGGUUUACUUCAGAGACUGAGCUCCAGAGGACAGUUUCUACAGAAAGGACAGGUACAGGUGUGCACUGCUCUGGAGCCAAGAGCAUUCUUCCAUGUGGAGGAGAAGUACCACAGCGUGCAUUGCAAAGAGAAAAAAGCUUUAUUUACAAAAUAUAACAAGUGGAAUGUCUGCAGUAGAGACAGAACUUUGCUUCUGAGCUUUCCUCCUCCAUACAGAUUCUUCCACGAGGAAUGCUGUGCCGUGUUUCCAAUCAUGGAAUUGCUGCCCUUGCAGUUAAGUUUUACUCUGUUCAUUGAGAGUCACCAAAUUGUUUCUUUCUGACUGAGCUACUCCUGUGUGCCCCUGUCAGAAACAACUCUCUUUUGUGCAGCUCAAUCAUUCAUAAACUCUGGAUUUUCCUAGGAAAGUGUUUUACUCCUGCUACAUUCCCUGAAAACAAGGUUUGCUGAUGUUGGGCAAUUGAUGAGUAGCUGGGGGAAUUUUCAGCUCAGGCCCAUCUCCUGCUUCCUUAGAAAACAUUCUGGUGGAAACCGAACUUUGGAUGCACACGGACAGAAAUAGCAGCUCCCAAAUUAGCAGUGAGUAGGUGGAGGGGGACAGCCAGCACACGGGCUUGGCACAACAGCCUGGCUCUGCAAAUGAAGAGAUGGGGCUUGACGUGCAGAGUAACUGGAACUGUCAGAUGACUAAUGAAUCUCAGCCAUUACAGGCCCUAAGUCUCAAACGAGGUGGGAUUAGUUAAAGAUGUGCCCAUAGGAGCUGGCACAGCUGCAGGUGUGCAGGGCUGUGGGAUCCGUGUGUGGGGCUGCAGCGGGGAAGG